rnacentral:rRNA from 1 species
AUUGAACGCUGGCGGCAGGCCUAACACAUGCAAGUCGAGCGGAUGAAGGGAGCUUGCUCCUGGAUUCAGCGGCGGACGGGUGAGUAAUGCCUAGGAAUCUGCCUGGUAGUGGGGGAUAACGUCCGGAAACGGGCGCUAAUACCGCAUACGUCCUGAGGGAGAAAGUGGGGGAUCUUCGGACCUCACGCUAUCAGAUGAGCCUAGGUCGGAUUAGCUAGUUGGUGGGGUAAAGGCCUACCAAGGCGACGAUCCGUAACUGGUCUGAGAGGAUGAUCAGUCACACUGGAACUUAGACACGGUCCAGACUCCUACGGGAGGCAGCAGUGGGGAAUAUUGGACAAUGGGCGAAAGCCUGAUCCAGCCAUGCCGCGUGUGUGAAGAAGGUCUUCGGAUUGUAAAGCACUUUAAGUUGGGAGGAAGGGCAGUAAGUUAAUACCUUGCUGUUUUGACGGUACCAACAGAAUAAGCACCGGCUAACUUCGUG